rnacentral:rRNA from 1 species
UGAUCUUAGUUGCCAUCAUUAAGUUGGGCACUCUAAGGUGACUGCCGGUGACAAACCGGAGGAAGGUGGGGAUGACGUCAAAUCAUCAUGCCCCUUAUGACCUGGGCUACACACGUGCUACAAUGGACGGUACAAAGAGCUGCAAGACCGCGAGGUGGAGCUAAUCUCAUAAAACCGUUCUCAGUUCGGAUUGUAGGCUGCAACUCGCCUACAUGAAGCUGGAAUCGCUAGUAAUCGCG